rnacentral:misc_RNA from 1 species
GUGGAUCCUCAAGAUAUUGUUAUGCUGGUUCUGUCUUGGCACAUGAAGGCUGCCACUAUGUGUGAAUUCUCCAAACAGGAGUUUGUUGGUGGUCUGCAAUCGCUUGGGGUAGAUUCAAUUGAGAGGUUACGUGAGAAGAUACCCUUGAUGCGUGCUGAGCUGAAAGAUGAUCAAAAAUUCCGCGAGAUAUACAACUUUGCAUUCGCCUGGGCUAAAGAAAAGGGUCAGAAGUCUCUGGCACUGGAUACAGCUAUUGGCAUGUGGCAGUUGAUGUUUGCUGAGAAGGUGUGGCCUUUGGUUGAGCAUUGGUGUGAUUUCUUACAGGCCCGACAUAACAAAGCAAUCUCAAGGGAUACAUGGUCUCAGCUACUGGAAUUCUCCAAGACAAUCGACUCUCAGCUGUCCAACUAUGACUCAGAGGGUGCUUGGCCCUACCUGAUAGAUGAAUUUGUUGAAUACCUGUUCGAGAAUGGAGUUGUCAAGCGCAGUCACUGAGAGAUCUCUGUGCACAUAGACGAGGAAUACAAAUCAAAUUGUUGAAUUCGUAACGUGGAUCGCUUACCUGGUAUAUGAAACCUUGAGACAGGCUACUAUUGUGAUGGAACUAGCCAUACUUUUCAUUCUCAUUUAUACUUACUGGCUAGUCAUUGAAUUGGGUUAUUGAAAGCACUGUGUU